AAAGGAAUUUAUCUCCUACCAAGAAAGCUUUCAUGAUUCUAAAGAUCUAUCCUCAAAUAGCAAUCUUAAGUAUACAAAUCUCCAGCAGCUUAUUUACAUUCAGAACCUCAAUAUAUAAAGAAGGAAAUGUGUUAACAAGCAUACUGGAUAAUGUCCUGGUCCAAUCCAUUUUCUUAGAAUCACUGACAUCAAACAACCUCACUAUGAG
rnacentral:misc_RNA from 1 species